rnacentral:rRNA from 1 species
CAGCCGCCACGGUAAUACGUAGGGUGCAAGCGUUAAUCGGAAUUACUGGGCGUAAAGCGUGCGCAGGCGAUUAUAUAAGACAGAUGUGAAAUCCCCGGGCUCAACCUGGGAACUGCAUUUGUGACUGUAUAGCUAGAGUACGGCAGAGGGGGACGGAAUUCCGCGUGUAGCAGUGAAAUGCGUAGAUAUGCGGAGGAACACCGAUGGCGAAGGCAAUCCCCUGGGCCUGUACUGACGCUCAUGCACGAAAGCGUGGGGAGCAAACAGGAUUAGAUACCCCCGUAGUCCCUGUCUCUUAUAC